UGGGGAAUAUUGGACAAUGGGCGCAAGCCUGAUCCAGCCAUGCCGCGUGAGUGAUGAAGGCCCUAGGGUUGUAAAGCUCUUUCACCGGUGAAGAUAAUGACGGUAACCGGAGAAGAAGCCCCGGCUAACUUCGUGCCAGCAGCCGCGGUAAUACGAAGGGGGCUAGCGUUGUUCGGAUUUACUGGGCGUAAAGCGCACGUAGGCGGACUUUUAAGUCAGGGGUGAAAUCCCGGGGCUCAACCCCGGAACUGCCUUUGAUACUGGAAGUCUUGAGUAUGGUAGAGGUGAGUGGAAUUCCGAGUGUAGAGGUGAAAUUCGUAGAUAUUCGGAGGAACACCAGUGGCGAAGGCGGCUCACUGGACUAUUACUGACGCUGAGGUGCGAAAGCGUGGGGAGCAAACAGG
rnacentral:rRNA from 1 species